UACCGUCCCCUCGAAGUGAGGGAUACCGGCGAGAAAUCGCCGACAAUACCGCAUAGGCUCUCUUUCGCGAGAGGGAGAGCAAAGCUUCCGCAAGGGAGACGCUUUGGGAUGGGCCUGUGGCCGAUUAGCUAGCUGGUGGGGUAACGGCUCACCAGGGCGACGAUCGGUAGCUGGUCUGAGAGGACGAUCAGCCACACUGGGAUUGAGAACGGCCCAG
rnacentral:rRNA from 1 species